UACGUAGGGUGCAAGCGUUGUCCGGAAUUAUUGGGCGUAAAGAGCUCGUAGGCGGUUUGUCGCGUCUGCUGUGAAAUCUGGGGGCUCAACCCCCAGCCUGCAGUGGGUACGGGCAGACUAGAGUGCGGUAGGGGAGAUUGGAAUUCCUGGUGUAGCGGUGGAAUGCGCAGAUAUCAGGAGGAACACCGAUGGCGAAGGCAGAUCUCUGGGCCGUAACUGACGCUGAGGAGCGAAAGCAUGGGGAGCGAACAGG
rnacentral:rRNA from 2 species